UGGGGGAUAUUGCACAAUGGGGGAAACCCUGAUGCAGCGAUGCCGCGUGGAGGAAGAAGGUUUUCGGAUUGUAAACUCCUGUCGUAAGGGAAGAGGAAGGACUGUACCUUACAAGAAAGCUCCGGCUAACUACGUGCCAGCAGCCGCGGUAAUACGUAGGGAGCGAGCGUUGUCCGGAAUGACUGGGUGUAAAGGGAGCGUAGGCGGGAUGGCAAGUCAGAUGUGAAAUCUGAGGGCUCAACUUUCAGACUGCAUUUGAAACUGCUGUUCUUGAGUGAAGUAGAGGUAAGCGGAAUUCCUGGUGUAGCGGUGAAAUGCGUAGAGAUCAGGAGGAACAUCGGUGGCGAAGGCGGCUUACUGGGCUUUUACUGACGCUGAGGCUCGAAAGCGUGGGGAGCAAACAGG
rnacentral:rRNA from 1 species